GUGCUCGCUUCGGCAGCACAUAUACUAAAAUUGGAACGAUACAGAGAAGAUUAGCAUGGCCCCUGCGCAAGGAUGAAAACCUGUCAGUAUUUGCCUGUUUUU